AUUGAACGCUGGCGGCAGGCCUAACACAUGCAAGUCGAGCGGAGCGGCGGACUGGUGAGUAAUGCCUGGGAAUCUGCCUGGUAGUGGGGGAUAACGUCCGGAAACGGGCGCUAAUACCGCAUACUAUCAGAUGAGCCUAGGUCGGAUUAGCUAGUUGGUGGGUUAAAGGCCUACCAAGGCGACGAUCCGUAACUGGUCUGAGAGGAUGAUCAGUCACAAGGGAACGGAGACACGGUACAGACUCCUAAGGUAGGCAGGAGUGGGGAAUAUUGGACAAUGGGCGAAAGCCUGAUCAAGCCAUGCGGCGUGUGUGAAGAAGGUCUUCGGAUUGUAAAGCACUUUAAGUUGGGAGGCGUUACCAAAAGAAUAAGCAACGGCUAACUUCGUGCCAGCAGCCGCGGUAAUUC
rnacentral:rRNA from 1 species